UCCUGUGCUCCCCACAUACCACUAUAUUGAGCAGAAGACACUGCUUGUGAGCAAUCUGCACCCAAUGGUCACCGAACAACAGCUUAUUGAAAAGUUUGGUCCAUUGGGGUCCAUCUCGACUGUGCAAGUGUGCAGAAACAACAUCGUCUCUCCUGUGUAUGCCUUUGUGACUUUCCAUCAUCGACUCGAUGCAGUGCGAGCACAAAAAGCUCUGAACUUCACUCAUUUACUGAAUAAACCUCUGAUCAUCAUGUGGGGCCCAGACAAGACAACUGAGGUCCUCUCAGAUUAUGACAGCAGCUCUCAAAGACAAACAGAGGAGAGAGAGGCAGCUGGAGAAACAGAGGAGAAAAAGACCAGUGGAGAAACAGAGAGAGAAGCAGCUGGAGAAACAGAGGAGAGAGCGAACAGCGAGUCUUCAUGGAGAAGAAGGAUCUCCAACAAUGUGAAAAGUGCUGUGAAAGCCACGGUAAGCAGUCCAGCAACCUGGGUCGGAGUCGGCAUAGGUGUCUGUGCUGCUUAUGCCUACUUCAGGAGCAGGAGCUAGUGUGGACACAUUCUAAAAGACGAGAAGGCCUGCCUCACAAUCUCCACUCAUCAUCCCCAGAGUGACCAAUCACUGCUCCAGAAAGAACUUGAUUUCCCCAGCAGGCCAAACACUUGCAAUAAAUGUGAAUUGAAUAAA
ensembl:processed_transcript